ACUCGGCAUCAGGAAUAUGAUACCAUGAGCCACUCACCAUCCCUUGCUCCAUGGGGAAGAAAAGAUGAAACGCUUUUACUCUGAACUAAAGAGUGAGGAUGGGCAGAAUGGAAAUGGCACACACAGUCUGCAGAAGUGGCCAAAGAGGGAUCAACGCGAGGCUGAGGACGGGGCUGCAGAACUGAUUCUUUUUUUAGGAAGCCACACAGCAUGGAAGGACACACAAAGGUAGCAUUAAUGCUAAAACACCUUUUGGAGAACCUCCCAGCCAGAGGACACAAUAUUGAAACUGGAGAACUCAAAACCUCUGUGUAGGCUCUCAGGGACUGACUAAGCCAUAGUAACAAGCCAAAGUGGAUUUCAAAGCCAAAAGUAUUCCGCCUGUCCCCAGAACCUGGUGCCAGCAUAAUGCAGUGCAAAGCUUAAACUCAUACUUGAAGUCACCUUCUUUGUGAUGGUCAGAGCAGUGAGUUGGGUUGAGCCUUGCAAACUAUGUCUGCAUUGAUGUCUCAAACAUGAGGAACUCUGGGCAAGCAAGUAAGUUUUGCCAGAAAGCUCCAGUAUGGAACACAACUUCUUACUUGGCACAGAAACAUCCAUCAGCAUCAGACACUUACGGAGAAAGCAAGAAAUCUGAGUCAUGGUCCUAAAGACAUCCCCCAAAACUGAGAAAGAUUGUUUCCUUCAUCUUCCACAUAAGAAAUACAAGACCAUACUUGAGUUAAAAA